UAUAACAUUUUAAAAAACAACAUGGACACUGUAAAAAUGAAUUAGAUCAUUUAAAUGACAUAUUAAAUAAACAUACUGUAUAAAUAUACAUAUUCAACAUCAAAAAUAAAACAUAUGGGUGGAUAUUUGUGUACUAGUUGCGUCAAUGCGUCUGAAAAAUACUCCAUACUCUCAGACUGAUGGAGAUGUUUAAAUACAUGACGCACAUUAUCUGUUCAUUUGUGAUUCACAUUUCUCCUAAGUAGCUCCCCUGGAGUCAGCACAAUGGGAUUCUGGGAGUUCAGCGCAGUGCAUAUUUGCCCAAGGUGUCCUUCAUUAGAAAAGCUCACUCCCAGAGAGUCAAGACACCCACAGCCACAGAAUUUCAGCUGUUUGUCUCUGUCUGGCUUCCUACUGCUUUGGAACACUCAGACAUACAGCAGCAGUAGUGUGAGUUCUUCACAGAGCAGCAGCCUGCCUGAUACGGCUCAGAAGAGAUUAGCAGAAAACUUCGGAAGAUGACGGCUGAUGGAGAACCGCUUUCAACAUUUUGACCAUGAGACACCAAAAUGUCUAAAAAAGUGUCCAAAAAUGUACAUGUGAUAUUGAUGCAGUUUCAAAUGUGUUCCAAGAACUUAAGUUCAAUUUUGACGAAAGAACAAAAACGUAAACUAAUAAAAACAAAAGCCAACAGCAAUGCUAGUAAGUUUAGCACCACAUAUCUAAACUUAUCCACUGCCAUCAACAGGAGCUUAGAAGUGGGACAAAAAUAGACACAGGGCCAACAGUGUCAGACGACUCCUAAACAUUACAAGAGCAACAAGCAGAAGGCUGGGGUGAGGAUGAACCAAACAGGGGACCUGAUUAGGUUCAAGACUGGCUGUUCCACGGUUGUUCAACGCUCAAAUCCUGACAAGUGACCCUGGCUCUAUCAGACAAAGUGACCGGCUGGCUGCUCACAGGACAUGGAGGCUUUGUCUUUAUUAACAACACUGAGGCAGCGUCUUCACACAGAGGCUGCUUUUGCAUCAGUCACCAGCAAUGACAACGUGCCUUAGAUAACCAGCAAGCUCACAACACUGCAGGUCACGCUGCUGUGUGCUUUUGUCCAAACUGUUUCAACUUUAAAAAGGAAAGUUGCAGAUCCACACUUUACAACAUCAGCCUGACCGACUCUGGUAGCUUGCCUCACAGGUGAAAAUGAAAAUGCACCAUGGACUUUUACAAGACUGAGCUUGUGGUGAUGGGGACCGUCCAUGCCGUCUUCAUGUUGUGGGCUGUUUUCCCUCCACAGGGGAAUAAUAAAAAGCCUCAUAACCCGGCCUGAGUAAAUGUGUUGAUGUCUCUUUCUUCCUGCGCUGUUGCUCCACACUGAUGCUAGAGAACCUAUUGCCCCUCAAUUACUCUUAGGAUCCAAUUCCCCUGACUGAGCUGUGCCUUAACAGACCAGUCAUGUGAGCCGAAGAAGAAACAGAAACAUGCCAUGUUUGUUUACACGGUAGACACAAUCCAGGACUUGGACAUACACAUCCUCCUAAGUCACUGACAGUCUGAGCUUACACAAUAUGAUGCAUUUACAAAGGUUAACAUACUAUUAAUGCUAACAUCUAUCCUAUAUUCAGUUCCUAGUUUUUCACCUGAGCUGACAGGGUUCAACAUCCAGUAUGGAGAAAUGUGCUUUUCUUUUCUAAAGAUGUCAAAGAUAAAGCUGUUUACAGAUGACACUGUAAUCUGUAGUGCAAGGUAAAAAAGAACCUGGAGAGAUGGAGGUCUAAUCUGAAGAGAAAGGUAAAGGGAUUUGGUGAUGGGCCUGCCAGGCAGAAGGAGAAGUCUGUGAAGAAGAAUCAUAGAUGUAGUAAACAUGUUGGUGAAAGGGCGACCAGGCUACUGAUUAUUAAUAAGAACCAGAAAGGUCAAACCAAGGCUCUCAGAAUUUUUGACACAUACUUGUUUUAUACACAGUUGACCUUGUGUCACAUUUGCUGUAAAACAACACGUUUACUGAUCUGAAACAUAUGUUUCCAAAUGUAUUUGAUCACAUGUGGCAAGUAAAUCACCUAAGGUGAACGUGUAGAAAGUGAAACAGGAAAAUAGGACUACACAGGAAAAGAAAUCACAGCGGCUCUGAAGUCUGCCCUGGCAUUGUUAGCAGAGAUAAAAGGAGCCUCCAGACCUUGAUCAGCUAAAAGGAUGAAGGCUACCUUCUCAACAUGCCUGCCAUGAGAUACUCAUUAGCCAUUAAUCACCAUGGCAACACCACGGUGCCGACAUAUAUCUGUCAAUUUGUGAGAAGAAAUUAAGGUUAACAUACUAAAAAAAUGAAAAAAACAAACAUAAAUUGUGUUUAAUUUUCCUUUUUUAAAGUGAAACAUCAAUGCUCCUGACUUCAUCCUCAAUACCAUCUUGGU